UGAGUUGGAGUCAAUGCUUGUCCUGUGAAUUCCCUAAAAUAUACUCCUUUGCUUAUUCAACAAGAUAAAAGAAGUCGGAUAAUAGGUGUGAAAUCUGAAGAGUAACACCACCUUCCCAUGGCCUGAAACACGCAUCUGCCCACGACCUCCAUUUCCACUUCCUCUCAUGGAGAAAGAACACACCCACCGGACGGAGACUACACUUCCCAGAAUCCUGAAGAAUGAUGUUUCUCAGUGUCUCUAGAGAUCAAAACUUUGAGAGAAGGUGGACUUUGGGUUUGGUCCUGCGUGGGAUGCGGGGAUAAUCGUUCUGCUGCUUCCUUGAACCGACUCCAGAGCCGCAGCCCGAAUCACUUACCGUUUCCAGAUCGACUUAACCCGGGGGUUGUCACAUGCCUGCAAAGAGCAGUUUGACCGCCUUGGAGAAAGCUCCUGCAACUAGCUGGAUCCUGACCUAAGCAAUUAAACAUCAAAUAAUGCUUGGCUUUGCCCUGGCCACAGCCUGGGUGGCAUUAAUCAUUAGUCUGCCAUGCCAGUAUUCUGUUCUGGAAGGGACCAAGCUGGAAACAUCUUCAACUGAAGCAACACCCUUUUAAUAGGCUCUCUGCGGGUAUCGAAAAGCCAUUGUAAAUCCCUUAAAUAAAACAAAGUGGAGCAGAAAAAAGGUCACCCAGAAAAGUGUAUGUUUAAUUAUGGCAUUAUUAAAAUCUG